UACGAAGGGUGCAAGCGUUACUCGGAAUUACUGGGCGUAAAGCGUGCGUAGGUGGUGAGUUAAGUCUGAUGUGAAAUCCCCGGGCUCAACCUGGGAAUGGCAUUGGAUACUGGCUCGCUAGAGUGCGGUAGAGGGUGGUGGAAUUCCCGGUGUAGCAGUGAAAUGCGUAGAGAUCGGGAGGAACAUCAGUGCGAAGGCGGCUCUCUGGACCAGCACUGACACUGAGGCACGAAAGCGCUGGG
rnacentral:rRNA from 1 species